rnacentral:lncRNA from 1 species
GGGGACUGUGGCUUUGAACAUCCUUCUGUAAAAGUUAGUACUGUUAAGAUUGGGAAAACGGAGACUUUGGGAUUCUUGAGGGAGUGACAGCCACAGACUUCCCAGGCCACUUUGAAAGCAGCCACCUAAAUGGACACACAGCUGUCUGCAGUUGUCUGACAGUGACCACCAUAUUCAAGAAUUAGAUAUCACCUCCCCGAAUCCAUCCAUGAGGCAACUGAAAAGCAAACUGGAAAAGAAAGAAAACUGUUAGUUUUAAUUUAAGAAAGGAAGAGCCAACGCCCCUUCUAAAUAUCCACUCGCCUUGGUAGAUUUAUGCUUCUCCUCUAAUGAAGAAAAAUAAAGAAAAUCAAAGU